rnacentral:rRNA from 1 species
AGUGAACGCUGGCGGCAGGCCUAAUACAUGCAAGUCGAACGGCAGCACAGCAGAGCUUGCUCUGUGGGUGGCGAGUGGCGGACGGGUGAGGAAUACGUGGGAAUCUGCCCAGUCGUGGGGGAUAACGUAGGGAAACUUACGCUAAUACCGCAUGCGCCCUUCGGGGGAAAGCCGGGGACCUUCGGGCCUGGCGCGAUUGGAUGAGCCCACGUCGGAUUAGCUAGUUGGCGGGGUAAAGGCCCACCAAGGCGACGAUCCGUAGCUGGUCUGAGAGGAUGAUCAGCCACACUGGAACUGAGACACGGUCCAGACUCCUACGGGAGGCAGCAGUAGGGAAUAUUGGACAAUGGGCGCAAGCCUGAUCCAGCCAUGCCGCGUGAGUGAAGAAAGCCCUCGGGUUGUAAAGCUCUUUUGUCCGGAAAGAAAGCGCCGGGUUAAUACCCUGGUGUCCUGACGGUACCGGAAGAAUAAGCACCGGCUAACUUCGUGCCAGCAGCCGCGGUAAU